CAGAGCAUAGCAUAAUGAAUGCAGCAGAUCCUGAAUCUGGGAACUUGGGUUCAAAUCCCAAUUCUGC
rnacentral:tRNA from 1 species